rnacentral:RNase_MRP_RNA from 2 species
GCGCCGUUCGAAGAAUCGCUUUUGCAGCUCACGCACAGAGGGUGCAGACUCUCCUCUUAAAGCUGUAGGGAAAGUCCCCGGAGAUGCGGAGAAUGUCCUUGUCCUGUUCACGGAAAGCGACCGUCCAUAAGACAGACGGUAUUUGGACAUGGACAGCAAGAAUGUCUUGCAAAUCGAUUCUUUUUGGUCGACUGCUCCAUCUUGCUGCUCUGCCGCUUAUUCUCGCUCCCAGGACUCGGUGAAAAGUGCUUGGACGCGAAGAUAUGAGCGUUUCUGCACUCGGGUUCCGGGCUGUGGGGUGAGUGUUUGUUGCUCAUAGACAAAGUUAUGCGAUUGUGGGCGCGUGCGCCCGUAAACACAAUGGGGCUUACUCUCGCUCGGCG